GUAAGGAAUAUUGGUCAAUGGAGGGAACUCUGAACCAGCCAUCCCGCGUGCAGGAUGAAGGGGCUCUGCCCUGUAAACUGCUUUUGAAUGGGACGAAAAAGCCUCACUUGUGAGGAACUGACGGUACCAUUAGAAUAAGCACCGGCUAACUCCGUGCCAGCAGCCGCGGUAAUACGGAGGGUGCAAGCGUUAUCCGGAAUCACUGGGUUUAAAGGGUGCGUAGGCGGCCUAGUAAGUCAGCGGUGAAAUCCCCCCGCCCAACGGGGGAACUGCCGUUGAUACUGCUUGGCUUGAGUUCGCCCGAGGUCGCUGGAAUGCGUGGUGUAGCGGUGAAAUGCAUAGAUAUGUCAUAGAACACCGAUUGCGAAGGCAGCUGACUGGACCUUGAUUGACACUGAGGCACGAAAGCGUGGGGAGCGAACAGGAUUAGAAACCCUAGUAGUCC
rnacentral:rRNA from 1 species